rnacentral:lncRNA from 1 species
UCUUUUACAGUUCUGCUUAUUCUCAUUCAAGGAGAUUGUGAUCAAACUGCAGGAAGUAAAGAGUGGCCUACUAGAGAUGAGAAAAUAGAAAGGCAUUCCCUGAGAGAAGACUGGUAUCGUGGUUGAAACAUGCUCACAAAAACAUUCUGCAUGACCAGGCAAAGAUGAAGUCAAGAGCAGCAACAAUAAGUGGCUCAUUGCUCUCUGAAGAUUGCUUACUUUAACAUCUGGGAGGUAUAUGAGAAAGAGGUUUGGCACUGGGAACACCUGAGG